CUGGAAGAGAUUAAAGUCAACUGAAAAUCUAACAAAAUGCUUCGGCAUCAGGAAAGAUCAGUUGAUGCUAUCCAAGAAGGUAGUUGGAGCAUUGCAAAGUUUGGCGUUACAGCAUUUACCUUUUCAUAUCUGCCCACCAAUAAGAAAUACUAAAGUGUGUGUCAGAUCUCAAGGUUCUCGACACGAUGCCUGAAAUGCUUCAAUGGUUCAACAGUCACUAAGCAACUUUAGAUGGGAUAAACUCAAUUCCAAGCUCAGUAACUUUGGCAGGAUACCUCAAUGUUUACCCCCUCAUUGCCUUUUAAAAACAAGCCUCCAGAAAGCUCCUGGCUCUGUGCUGCUCUCUGCUUACAUACAUUGUUGAUUUUCCUCAGUGGCAGUUCCACCUUGGAAGUCUUCAUGCCUGCCCAUCCCUCUGCACUUCUUUCUCAAUUGCAAGUUUGUGAUUGCGUUAGAACGAUCGAGACACUGGUAUUGGCACACUAAAGGGGCUGCUUUGGCUUGGGAAUUGAGUGGCUGUGAGCGGAGAGGACCACUAAUGCUGUAAGCUGACGCUGCUCAGAAAAGUAUGCGUAAGGCCAUGAUCGCUGGAGUAAUUUCUGAAGAUGUCGUCCCGUUAAUUUGCUCCAACCCUUUCUGAGAGAUUACUAUGCCUCUGUUAGGGUGGUAAAAGCAAAUGUGUGCCUGUUUCUCAAACUGCUUCACCUGGCAACCUGGCACGUUGUUGAAACUGCCGCUGAUCUGAAACUAAACUAGAAGAUUGGACUGUCAACUGUUGUCAUUCUCCAAGUUCUUCUAGCUGACAGGUGAGGUAGGCAAUAAGGGUUAGGGAUCUUUUAAAUUAUCCUGGUAUGAGUGGUUGCUGUUUUGUG
rnacentral:lncRNA from 1 species